rnacentral:rRNA from 1 species
AGCAUAUCAAUAAGCGGAGGAAAAGAAACUAACAAGGAUUCCCCUAGUAACUGCGAGUGAAGCGGGAAAAGCUCAAAUUUAAAAUCUGGCGGUCUUCGGCCGUCCGAGUUGUAGUCUGGAGAAGUGCUUUCCGCGCUGGACCGUGUACAAGUCUCUUGGAACAGAGCGUCAUAGAGGGUGAGAAUCCCGUCUUUGACACGGACUACCAGUGCUUUGUGAUGCGCUCUCAAAGAGUCGAGUUGUUUGGGAAUGCAGCUCAAAAUGGGUGGUAAAUUCCAUCUAAAGCUAAAUAUUGGCGAGAGACCGAUAGCGAACAAGUACCGUGAGGGAAAGAUGAAAAGCACUUUGGAAAGAGAGUUAAACAGUACGUGAAAUUGCUGAAAGGGAAACGAUUGAAGUCAGUCGCGUUAGCCAGGACUCAGCCUUGUUUUUACUUGGUGCAUUUUCUGGUUGACGGGCCAGCAUCGAUUUUGACCGCUGGAAAAAGAUUGGGGGAAUGUGGCACCUUCGGGUGUGUUAUAGCCCUCAGUCACAUACGGCGAUUGGGAUCGAGGACCGCAGCACGCCUUUAUGGCCGGGGUUCGCCCACGUUCGUGCUUAGGAUGCUGGCGUAAUGGCUUUAAACGACCCGUCUUGAAACACGGACCAAGGAGUCUAACAUGCCUGCGAGUGUUUGGGUGGAAAACCCGAGCGCGUAAUGAAAGUGAAAGUUGAGAUCCCUGUCGCGGGGAGCAUCGACGCCCGGACUUGAACUUCGGUGAUAGCUCUGCGGUAGAGCAUGUAUGUUGGGACCCGAAAGAUGGUGAACUAUGCCUGAAUAGGGUGAAGCCAGAGGAAACUCUGGUGGAGGCUCGUAGCGAUUCUGACGUGCAAAUCGAUCGUCAAAUUUGGGUAUAGGGGCGAAAGACUAAUCGAACCAUCUAGUAGCUGGUUCCU